rnacentral:tRNA from 1 species
GAUCCGGUAGUUCAGCUGGUUAGAAUGCCGCCCUGUCACGGCGGAGGUCGCG